AGGGCGGGACACGUGAUAUCCUGUCUGAAUAUGGGGGGACCAUCCUCCAAGGCUAAAUACUACUGACUGACCGAUAGUGAACCAGUACCGUGAGGGAAAGGCGAAAAGAACCCCUGUGAGGGGAGUGAAAUAGAACCUGAAACCGUGUACGUACAAGCAGUAGGAGCAGGCUUUGUCCUGUGACUGCGUACCUUUUGUAUAAUGGGUCAGCGACUUAUAUUCAGUGGCAAGGUUAACCAUCUAGGGGAGCCGUAGGGAAACCGAGUCUUAACUGGGCGUUCAGUCUCUGGAUAUAGACCCGAAACCAGGUGAUCUAGCCAUGGGCAGGUUGAAGGUUGAGUAACAUCAACUGGAGGACCGAACCGACUAAUGUUGAAAAAUUAGCGGAUGACUUGUGGCUAGGGGUGAAAGGCCAAUCAAACCUGGAGAUAGCUGGUUCUCCCCGAAAGCUAUUUAGGUAGCGCCUCGGACGAAUACUACUGGGGGUAGAGCACUGUUAAGGCUAGGGGGUCAUCCCGACUUACCAACCCUUUGCAAACUCCGAAUACCAGUAAGUACUAUCCGGGAGACACACGGCGGGUGCUAACGUCCGUCGUGGAGAGGGAAACAACCCAGACCGCCAGCUAAGGUCCCAAAUUACUACUAAGUGGGAAACGAUGUGGGAAGGCUCAGACAGCCAGGAUGUUGGCUUAGAAGCAGCCAUCAUUUAAAGAAAGCGUAAUAGCUCACUGGUCGAGUCGGCCUGCGCGGAAGAUGUAACGGGGCUAAGUAGUAAACCGAAGCUGCGGCAAUAUACUUUUGUAUAUUGGGUAGGGGAGCGUUCUGUAAGCGGUUGAAGGUGUGUGGUAACGCAUGCUGGACGUAUCAGAAGUGCGAAUGCUGACAUGAGUAACGAUAAAGGGGGUGAAAAACCUCCUCGCCGGAAGACCAAGGGUUCCUGUCCAACGUUAAUCGGGGCAGGGUAAGUCGACCCCUAAGGCGAGGCCGAAAGGCGUAGUCGAUGGGAAACGGGUUAAUAUUCCCGUACUUCUUACAAUUGCGAUGGGGGGACGGAGAAGGCUAGGUGGGCCUGGCGACGGUUGUCCAGGUUCAAGUGCGUAGGCUUAAGAGUUAGGUAAAUCCGGCUCUUUCUAAGGCUGAGACACGACGUCGAGCACCUACGGGUGUGAAGUCAUUGAUGCCAUGCUUCCAGGAAAAGCCUCUAAGCUUCAGAUUGUAAGGAAUCGUACCCCAAACCGACACAGGUGGUCGGGUAGAGAAUACCAAGGCGCUUGAGAGAACUCGGGUGAAGGAACUAGGCAAAAUGGUACCGUAACUUCGGGAGAAGGUACGCUCUUGAUGGUGAAGUCCCUCGCGGAUGGAGCUGACGAGAGUCGCAGAUACCAGGUGGCUGCAACUGUUUAUUAAAAACACAGCACUGUGCAAAAUCGUAAGAUGACGUAUACGGUGUGACGCCUGCCCGGUGCCGGAAGGUUAAUUGAUGGGGUUAGACUUCGGUCGAAGCUCUUGAUCGAAGCCCCGGUAAACGGCGGCCGUAACUAUAACGGUCCUAAGGUAGCGAAAUUCCUUGUCGGGUAAGUUCCGACCUGCACGAAUGGCGUAAUGAUGGCCACGCUGUCUCCACCCGAGACUCAGUGAAAUUGAAAUCGCUGUGAAGAUGCAGUGUACCCGCGGCUAGACGGAAAGACCCCGUGAACCUUUACUACAGCUUGGCACUGAACAUUGACCCUACAUGUGUAGGAUAGGUGGGAGGCUUUGAAGCACGUACGCCAGUAUGUGUGGAGCCGUCCUUGAAAUACCACCCUUGUAGUGUUGAUGUUCUAACGUCGACCCCUUAUCGGGGUUGCGGACAGUGCCUGGUGGGUAGUUUGACUGGGGCGGUCUCCUCCCAAAGAGUAACGGAGGAGCACGAAGGUGGGCUAAUCACGGUUGGACAUCGUGAGGUUAGUGCAAUGGCAUAAGCCCGCUUGACUGCGAGAAUGACAAUUCGAGCAGGUGCGAAAGCAGGUCAUAGUGAUCCGGUGGUUCUGAAUGGAAGGGCCAUCGCUCAACGGAUAAAAGGUACUCCGGGGAUAACAGGCUGAUACCGCCCAAGAGUUCAUAUCGACGGCGGUGUUUGGCACCUCGAUGUCGGCUCAUCACAUCCUGGGGCUGAAGUCGGUCCCAAGGGUAUGGCUGUUCGCCAUUUAAAGUGGUACGCGAGCUGGGUUUAGAACGUCGUGAGACAGUUCGGUCCCUAUCUGCCGUGGGCGUUGGAAGAUUGAAGGGGGCUGCUCCUAGUACGAGAGGACCGGAGUGGACGAACCUCUGGUGUUCGGGUUGUGUCGCCAGACGCAUUGCCCGGUAGCUAAGUUCGGAAUCGAUAACCGCUGAAAGCAUCUAAGCGGGAAGCGAGCCCUGAGAUGAGUCUUCCCUGAUACUUUAAGUAUCCUAAAGGGUUGUCGGAGACUACGACGUUGAUAGGUCAGGUGUGUAAGUGCUGUGAGGCAUUGAGCUAACUGAUACUAAUUGCCCGUGAGGCUUAACCAU
rnacentral:rRNA from 1 species